rnacentral:rRNA from 1 species
GACAGAGGUGCCGAGCGUUAGGCGGAAUCACUGGGCUUAAAGCGUGUGUAGGCGGACCGUUAAGUGUCUUGUGAAAUCCCACGGCUCACCCGUGGAACGGCUGGGCAUACUGGCGGUCUUGGGCCACUCAGGGGCGAGCGGAACAGGCGGUGGAGCGGUGAAAUGCGUAGAUAUCGCCUGGAACGCCGACGGUGAAAACAGCUCGCUGGGGGUGUGCCGACGCUGAGACACGAAGCCAGGGGAGCGAACGGG